AGUGAACGCUGGCGGUAGGCCUAACACAUGCAAGUCGAACGGCAGCACAGUAAGAGCUUGCUCUUACGGGUGGCGAGUGGCGGACGGGUGAGGAAUACAUCGGAAUCUACUUUUUCGUGGGGGAUAACGUAGGGAAACUUACGCUAAUACCGCAUACGACCUACGGGUGAAAGCAGGGGAUCUUCGGACCUUGCGCGAUUGAAUGAGCCGAUGUCGGAUUAGCUAGUUGGCGGGGUAAAGGCCCACCAAGGCGACGAUCCGUAGCUGGUCUGAGAGGAUGAUCAGCCACACUGGAACUGAGACACGGUCCAGACUCCUACGGGAGGCAGCAGUGGGGAAUAUUGGACGAUGGGCGCAAGCCUGAUCCAGCCAUACCGCGUGGGUGAAGAAGGCCUUCGGGUUGUAAAGCCCUUUUGUUGGGAAAGAAGAGCAGCAGGUUAAUACCCCGCUGUUCUGACGGUACCCAAAGAAUAAGCACCGGCUAACUUCGUG
rnacentral:rRNA from 1 species